rnacentral:rRNA from 1 species
GACGAACGCUGGCGGCGUGCUUAACACAUGCAAGUCGAACGGUAAGGCCCUUCGGGGUACAUGAGUGGCGAACGGGAGAGUAACACGUGUGUGAUCUGCCAUGCACUUCGGGAUAAGCCUGGGAAACUGGGUCUAAUAGCGGAUAGGACGCCUGCCUGCAUCGGCGGUGGCGGAACGGUUUUGCGGUGUGGGAUGGGCCCGCGGCCUAUCAGGUUGGUGGUGGGGUGAUGGCCUACCAAGGGGACGACGGGUAGCCGGCCUGAGAGGGUGACCGGCCACACUGGGACUGAGAUACGGCCCAGACUCCUACGGGAGGCAGUAGUGGGGAAUAUUGCACAAUGGGCGCAAGCCUGAUGCAGCGACGCCGCGUGAGGGAUGACGGCCUUCGGGUUGUAAACCUCUUUCAGCACCGACGAGGCGCAAGUGACGGUAGGUGCAGAAGAAGGACCGGCCAACUACGUGCCAGCCGCCGGCGUAA